GAACGCUGGCGGCAUGCCUUACACAUCGCAAGUCGAACGGCAGAACGGGAGCAAUCCUGGUGGCGAGUGGCGAACGGGUGAGUAAUAUAUCGGAACGUGCCCGGUCGUGGGGGAUAACGUAGCGAAAGCUACGCUAAUACCGCAUACGAUCUACGGAUGAAAGCGGGGGAUCGCAAGACCUCGCGCGAUUGGAGCGGCCGAUAUCAGAUUAGGUAGUUGGUGAGGUAAAGGCUCACCAAGCCGACGAUCUGUAGCUGGUCUGAGAGGACGACCAGCCACACUGGGACUGAGACACGGCCCAGACUCCUACGGGAGGCAGCAGUGGGGAAUUUUGGACAAUGGGCGCAAGCCUGAUCCAGCAAUGCCGCGUGCAGGAUGAAGGCCUUCGGGUUGUAAACUGCUUUUGUACGGAACGAAACGGUGAGCUCUAAUACAGUUUGCUAAUGACGGUACCGUAAGAAUAAGCACCGGCUAACUACGUG
rnacentral:rRNA from 1 species